ACUGACAGAAUUCUUGGCACUAUUUUGGGUUGCUAAAAAUGCAGUAAGGAAGGGAAGGGGACAGAAGAUGAAAAGGGAGAGGAUAAAGGAGAGAACAUGACAGCAGCAAGUUAAAAGUAGGGCACUAGAGCAGAAGAAAGAAGGAAAGCAAGGAAUACAAGAUUCCACAGAUUGUAGCAACAAUGGCACCAUCACAACUUCUAAACUCCUGAUGGUAGACUUGCUUCUGUGACUUAAUGGAUUACUAGCCCUCCAGUGGGAGCCACACACCUGAAGGCCAAGAGGAAUAUGCAAAGGCAAACAGAGACACUAAAGAGCUCAUCAGUCAUGAGAAGAUGGCAGGAAAUGGUGCUGUUCCCGUUGCAAUUAUUCCGACAGGGAAAUGGAGCCUGUCUCAGUGUUCAAGUGGUUAGAGAGAAACAUUUGGUUGGAGAAGAAGGAAGAAUAUGGUGUGUUUCUUUUGACUGUAUUUUCAUCAGUCUCGUCAUUUUCCAUUUGUGCUGGGACUUUUGCCUGCGGAAGGUUUUCAAGUCUGGCUGCAAUUUGGUUACCUUGAAGAACUUCAAGCAGAGAGGCUUUUAGUGAAAAUACAGAGGAUGACUCGAGAGGAAUUGUGGUGCUUUCAGAGGCCAGAUGUCCAUCGAUCAAGAAUGACCUCAGGAAAUAGGAUGAAGAAAGCACAAACAAAUUUCCUCAGUGGGGAUUUCAUGCUAGGAUAA
rnacentral:lncRNA from 13 species